GACGAACCGUGCGAACGUUAUUCGGAAUCACUGGGCUUAAAGCGCGUGUAGGCGGAUGGGAACGUCGGUAGUUGAAAGCCCCCGGCUCAACCGGGGAAGUGGUGCCGAAACGACCCGUCUGGAGGGACGUAGGGGGACCUGGAACUUCCGGUGGAGCGGUGAAAUGCGUUGAGAUCGGAAGGAACGCCCGUGGCGAAAGCGAGGUCCUGGACGUCUACUGACGCUGAGACGCGAAAAGCUAGGGGAGCAAACGGG
rnacentral:rRNA from 1 species